UGGGGAAUAUUGGACAAUGGGCGCAAGCCUGAUCCAGCCAUGCCGCGUGAGUGAUGAAGGCCCUAGGGUUGUAAAGCUCUUUCACCGGUGAAGAUAAUGACGGUAACCGGAGAAGAGGCCCCGGCUAACUUCGUGCCAGCAGCCGCGGUAAUACGAAGGGGGCUAGCGUUGUUCGGAUUUACUGGGCGUAAAGCGCACGUAGGCGGACUUUUAAGUCAGGGGUGAAAUCCCGGGGGCUCAACCCCGGAACUGCCUUUGAUACUGGAAGUCUUGAGUAUGGUAGAGGUGAGUGGAAUUCCGAGUGUAGAGGUGAAAUUCGUAGAUAUUCGGAGGAACACCAGUGGCGAAGGCGGCUCACUGGACCAUUACUGACGCUGAGGUGCGAAAGCGUGGGGGAGCAAACAGGAUUAGAUACCCCUGGUAGUCCACGCCGUAAACGAUGAAUGUUAGCCGUUGGGGAGUUUACUCUUCGGUGGCGCAGCUAACGCAUUAAACAUUCCGCCUGGGGAGUACGGUCGCAAG
rnacentral:rRNA from 1 species